rnacentral:rRNA from 1 species
GACGAACGCUGGCGGCGUGCUUAACACAUGCAAGUCGAACGGUGAAGCGCCUUCCUUUUUGGUGGGUGUGGAUGAGUGGCGAACGGGUGAGUAACACGUGAGUAACCUGCCCCCUUCUUCUGGAUAACCGCAUGAAAGUGUGGCUAAUACGGGAUAUUCUGUGUCUGUCGCAUGAUGGGUCUGGGAAAGAUAUUGUUUCGGUGGGGGAUGGGCUCGCGGCCUAUCAGCUUGUUGGUGGGGUGAUGGCCUACCAAGGCGGUGACGGGUAGCCGGCCUGAGAGGGUGGACGGCAACACUGGGACUGAGACACGGCCAAGACUCCUACGGGAGGCAGCAGUGGGGAAUAUUGCACAAUGGGCGCAAGCCUGAUGCAGCGACGCCGCGUGAGGGAUGGAGGCCUUCGGGUUGUGAACCUCUUUCGCCAGUGAAGCAGGCCUGCCUCGUUUGUGGGUGGGUUGACGGUAGCUGGAUAAGAAGCGCCGGCUAACUACGUG